AAUGGCGGCAGCUAUAAUGCAAGUCGAGCGGACAGAUGGGAGCUUGCUCCCUGAUGUUAGCGGCGGACGGGUGAGUAACACGUGGGUAACCUGCCUGUAAGACUGGGAUAACUCCGGGAAACCGGGGCUAAUACCGGAUGGUUGUUUGAACCGCAUGGUUCAAACAUAAAAGGUGGCUUCGGCUACCACUUACAGAUGGACCCGCGGCGCAUUAGCUAGUUGGUGAGGUAAUGGCUCACCAAGGCGACGAUGCGUAGCCGACCUGAGAGGGUGAUCGGCCACACUGGGACUGAGACACGGCCCAGACUCCUACGGGAGGCAGCAGUAGGGAAUCUUCCGCAAUGGACGAAAGUCUGACGGAGCAACGCCGCGUGAGUGAUGAAGGUUUUCGGAUCGUAAAGCUCUGUUGUUAGGGAAGAACAAGUACCGUUCGAAUAGGGCGGUACCUUGACGGUACCUAACCAGAAAGCCACGGCUAACUACGUGCCAGCAGCCGCGGUAAUACGUAGGUGGCAAGCGUUGUCCGGAAUUAUUGGGCGUAAAGGGCUCGCAGGCGGUUUCUUAAGUCUGAUGUGAAAGCCCCCGGCUCAACCGGGGAGGGUCAUUGGAAACUGGGGAACUUGAGUGCAGAAGAGGAGAGUGGAAUUCCACGUGUAGCGGUGAAAUGCGUAGAGAUGUGGAGGAACACCAGUGGCGAAGGCGACUCUCUGGUCUGUAACUGACGCUGAGGAGCGAAAGCGUGGGGGAGCGAACAGGAUUAGAUACCCCUGGUAGUCCACGCCGUAAACGAUGAGUGCCUAAGUUGUUUAGGGGGUUUCCGCCCCUUAGUGCUGCAGCCUAACGCAUUAAGCCACCUCCCGCCCUGGGGGGAAGUUACGGCUCCGCCAA
rnacentral:rRNA from 1 species